UUGGCCUAGCUGAUAGGGCAAGACUUAGCUAGGCAGAGAAGAUAGAACUGAAUGCUGGGAGGAAGAAAGCAGAGGAAAGACACCAGAGUCAGACAUGCUGAAUUUUUCCCGGGGGAGAAAACUGGAUCUCUAAAGUGUUAAAGAGCAUCCCCCAGGAAGCAUCAGAACCCACAUCAGAACUGAAGCCAGGAUGGAGCAUUAGGUGCGACAUACCCUGCUGUCUUCGUAUCCGCCGUGUGGACUCCACCUCUGAUCUUCUCCGGUGUGAAGGUUAUCUCUGUUGAGCCGAUUUCUGCCCCCUCCAAUUGCCCAUCACACAAAUCGCGAACCAUUUCCAGUCCAGAUAAAUGCUGAGGCCUUCAGGUCAUAAUACUGCAUCAAAACGUGCGCAAUCAGACUGCCUAUAAUACCCUACUCUACGGAACCGCUACAAAAGCAAUGGCCAGAAAGCAAGUGCCGUGUCUUCAAUGGCAGAGCUUCAACUGGGGUUUUUAACGCACUUAGAUUCACUGCUUAUAGGCAACUUCUUAAAGGUUUCAAGACUGGUUAUUUAGGCUACAAACACACACCGAGGAACUGUUACAAAUUCCAAGUGUGCACAAAAGGAAAAAUAGAACUACCUACGUGCUACCAGCCGUGCUUGCUUUCUACUAAAUAACUAACCCAUGACACCUCUCAUCCCCUAAAUUCUAUGUUGAGGCCUCAGCCCACACAAAAUAGGAUUGUUUAAAUAAGACCCUUUAAAGCUACAAUUAAAUUAAAGACAAG